UAAAUAGAAUGAACAAUCAUGGUAGCAUUGCACGUAGCUACUGAUGUAUAUAACGGAAAAAUUACAUUCCUUCUAUUCGUACUUGUAAUUCGCAUGUAUUUUUUGUUUUUAAUAUGAUAUCAUCGCGAUAAACAUCACUUGAAAUUGAUCACGCACUAUCGGUGUUUUUUUCUCCUCGAAAAUGCAUUGUCAUGUUACAUAAUAAAAACAAGUUUAAAAAUGACAGAAAGAAAAAAGUAAUAAAAUUCCUGCAAUUCCAAUGACAACGACGUCCAAUGACAACAAUUCCACUGGAUGCACCAGUAACUAUAGCUAUUUUACCAGCCCAGCGUUCCAUUUUAUGUAAUUCUCAAUCUCGUUUAAUAGUAAGAGAAAAAUGAAUACAGAAAGAAUAAAAAGAGCUAUCUUGUUGAA
rnacentral:lncRNA from 1 species